rnacentral:rRNA from 1 species
CGCUGGCGGCAUGCCUAACACAUGCAAGUCGAACGGCAGCGCGGGGAGCUUGCUCCCUGGCGGCGAGUGGCGGACGGGUGAGUAACGCGUGGGAAUCUGCCCAGUAGAGGGGGACAACCCGGGGAAACUCGGGCUAAUACCGCAUACGCUCUACGGAGGAAAGCGGGGGAUCUUCGGACCUCGCGCUAUUGGAUGAGCCCGCGUCGGAUUAGCUAGUUGGUGAGGUAAUAGCUCACCAAGGCGACGAUCCGUAACUGGUCUGAGAGGACGAUCAGUCACACCGGAACUGAGACACGGUCCGGACUCCUACGGGAGGCAGCAGUGGGGAAUAUUGGACAAUGGGCGAAAGCCCGAUCCAGCAAUGCCGCGUGUGAAGAAGGCCUGCGGGUUGUAAAGCACUUUCAGCAGGGAAGAAAAGCGCGGGGAUAAUACCCCCGUGUCUUGACGUUACCUGCAGAAGAAGCACCGGCUAACUCCGUGCCAGCAGCCGCGGUAAUACGGAGGGUGCGAGCGUUAAUCGGAAUUACUGGGCGUAAAGCGCGCGUAGGCGGCUUGGUCAGUCGGAUGUGAAAGCCCCGGGCUCAACCUGGGAAUUGCAUUCGAUACUGCCGAGCUCGA